GUAGGUGGCAAGCGUUGUCCGGAAUUAUUGGGCGUAAAGCGCGCGCAGGCGGUCCUUUAAGUCUGAUGUGAAAGCCCACGGGCUCAACCGUGGAGGGUCAUUGGAAACUGGGGGACUUGAGUGCAGAAGAGGAAAGCGGAAUUCCAAGUGUAGCGGUGAAAUGCGUAGAGAUUUGGAGGAACACCAGUGGCGAAGGCGGCUUUCUGGUCUGUAACUGACGCUGAGGCGCGAAAGCGUGGGGAGCAAACAGGAUUAGAUACCCUGGUAGUCCACGCCGUAAACGAUGAGUGCUAAGUGUUAGGGGGUUUCCGCCCCUUAGUGCUGCAGCUAACGCAUUAAGCACUCCGCCUGGGGAGUACGGCCGCAAAGGCUGA
rnacentral:rRNA from 1 species